AGUGUCUAGUGUCACACUCGUACGUAAAGUAUAGGGAAGGUGAACAAGUUGCGUACUGCUUGUAUUGUACUCCAAAAGACCUCCAAAGAUCCGCCAACAGGCAGUCUCCGUUGGGUCAAUAUUUCCAGGCCUUAAAAAUCUUCUAUCCGGCCCUGUCCACGAACAUUUCCGAAUGUCUAGAUAGAUCACACUGUACUUCCCAGUAAUGGUUUAUAUCAUAGUGAGGAAGUGCACGCAAUUUUGAAGGAUGAUCGAACAAAUUGCACAUGUUACAAUUCAUUAUAUUAAUACGAAACGCUACGUUAACACGAAAUACAGUGCAAUAAUUGAAUUUGUAUUAUCUUCGAUCUUUGGUAUACCUCCACCUUGGUUCAGUUCUAUUGCGACGCAGUUCGUACCAUUCAAUAUCUUUUGCUUUUUUUUUAAUCAACGAUAAGAUAUUACGGUUUAUACAUAUUUCAACAUUGCACUGUAGAACAACGUUUAUGAAAUUAAUAAUUAAUUUUACAUAAAAAUAAGGACAAAUGCAUGUAUAUUUUUGUACGUACUGUCAUUAUUUUAUCAGGUAAAAUAGUCAACCUAUGAAAAGAUGAUAGCAGUUCCGAUAGUAGUUAAGCUAGUGGUUCUCGGUAAUGAUUUUGUGACCAAAUAA